rnacentral:rRNA from 1 species
AUUGAACGCUGGCGGCAGGCCUAACACAUGCAAGUCGAGCGGAUGAUUGGAGCUUGCUCCAUGAUUCAGCGGCGGACGGGUGGGUAAUGCCUAGGAAUCUGCCUGGUAGUGGGGGACAACGUUUCGAAAGGAACGCUAAUACCGCAUACGUCCUACGGGAGAAAGCAGGGGACCUUCGGGCCUUGCGCUAUCAGAUGAGCCUAGGUCGGAUUAGCUAGUAGGUGAGGUAAUGGCUCACCUAGGCGACGAUCCGUAACUGGUCUGAGAGGAUGAUCAGUCACACUGGAACUGAGACACGGUCCAGACUCCUACGGGAGGCAGCAGUGGGGAAUAUUGGACAAUGGGCGAAAGCCUGAUCCAGCCAUGCCGCGUGUGUGAAGAAGGUCUUCGGAUUGUAAAGCACUUUAAGUUGGGAGGAAGGGCAGUAAGUUAAUACCUUGCUGUUUUGACGUUACCAACAGAAUAAGCACCGGCUAACUUCGUGCCAGCCGCCGCCGUAAAAC